rnacentral:rRNA from 1 species
GUGCCAGCCGCCGCGGUAAGACGUAGGAGGCGAGCGUUGUCCGGAUUCAUUGGGCGUAAAGAGCACGCAGGCGGUUCGGCAAGUCGGAUGUGAAAACCAGAAGCUCAACUUCUGGCGUGCAUCCGAAACUGCCGGACUAGAGGUAGGUAGGGGAGAUCGGAAUUCCUGGUGUAGCGGUGAAAUGCGCAGAUAUCAGGAGGAACACCGGUGGCGAAGGCGGAUCUCUGGGCCUUACCUGACGCUCAGGUGCGAAAGCUAGGGGAGCGAACAGGAUUAGAUACCCCUGUAGUCC